rnacentral:lncRNA from 1 species
CAGUAAUGCUGUCUGAUUCUGAGCCUAGUAAUCGAGAGGCCUGAACACUUCUACUUACUCUCAUGGAACACUGCCACUGCUAUAUAAAACAAGCCCAGCCUAUCCUGGCCAGACAGAUGGCUGAUUAGCAACAUCGGAUGCCAGUUCUUCUCAGAAAGAUUAAAGUUACAGGUGAAUGGAAUUAUCUGAAUAGAAUACUGAUGGAAGAAAGGCCCUGUUGUAAUGCCCGCAGGAAGAAGCUAGGCAUCAGAAAAGGAAAGCAGCAAGAGUCUGGCAGAGAUGGAGCCCCGAGGAACUUGAAGUCCCAUGGAAAGGGUACAUGGGUGUGGCGGCUUCUCUGAUGCCCUCACCCCUGCAACAAUCUGCUGACCCCCAAAGUGUUGGGAAGCCCCUCUACUUUUGAAACCCUGGGCAAAACUGUUGGCGGUGACUUGGGAACUUCCCUAGGACAGAGGACCAGGUGACUAUCAUGCACAAGGCACCUGUACUUCCCUCAGGCCUGAAUUGAGAUGAUGGGCACCAUACUGGUUGUGUACCCUGGGUGGUUACUGCCCUGCUAUUAUUAAAAAGUCAGCAUUGACAGAUUUUGGCAAAAAUGUGGAGAAAAGGGAAUGCUUAUAUACUGUCAGCAGGAAUGUAAAUUAGUACAACCCCUGUGGAAAACAGUAUGAGGAUUUCUCAAAUAACUAAAAAUAGAACUACUAUUCAACCUCACAAUCCCAUUACUAGGUAUCUACCCAAAGAAAAAGAAACCAUUUUAUCAAAAAGACAUUUUCAUUCAUAUUUUUAUUGCAGCACCAUUCACAAUAGCAAAGACAUGAAAUCAACCUGAGUGUCCAUCAACAACUGACUGUAUGAAGAAAAUGUGUUUCAUAUACACUGUGGCAUACUAUGCAGCCAUAAAAAAAGAAUGAAGUCAUGUCCUUUACAGCAACGUGGAUGAAGCUGGAGGCCAUUAUUCUAAGUGAAAUAACUCAAAAUCAGAAAAUCACAUACCACAUGGUUUCACUUAUAAGUGGGGGCUAUACAAUGGGUACUCAUGGACAUAGGAAGUAAAAUAAUAAACACUUGGGGACUCCAAGAGAGGGGUAGGUGGGAGGGGGUGAGGGUUGAGAAACUACCUAUGUUCUAAGUCCCUAAACACCAUGUUCAUUAUUUGGUUAAUGGGUUCACUAGAAGCCCAAACCUCAGCGUUAUGCAAUACGCUGAUGUAAUGAAGCUGCACAAGUACAUGCUGAAUCGAAAAUAAAAAUGAAAAAGAAACUACUUCCAAUGAAAAAAAUAAAGAGGAUCUUCAUGAAAAUAAGAUAAUCAAAUUUCUGUUUCCACCCAGAACAUAUGAAUUCUUCCAGUGCAUAUUUAUUCUGCAAAAUUUGCUACAUGUCCCUUUCCACUGACUCCUGCUCAUUCUUCAGGUCUCAAAAUAGUUAUCACUCCCAAAGGAAACCUUCCCUAGGGUGCCCCUCUAAGAACAGGCUGCAUUUCUACCAUGGAAUUUCAUGCAUCUUAAGUCAAUUGCGUCUUUCUUUAACCGAAAAGACUGCAGAAG